GAGGGGCCUGUCGGCUUGGGCCAGGCCGACUAGUGCCUGUCGGUUUGGUCAAAGCCGAGGCUGUAUUAUUUUUAAAAAAUUUCAAACUGCAUAUUAUUUUUAAUAUUAAUGAAAAAAAAGUAUUAUUAAAAAAAAAUUAGCCGACAUGUGAGGCAAAGGUGGAUGAUGUGGAUGAGAUCAGCAGGGGUAGGAUUGCACUUCGAAUUGGGGUUUAUUAGCAUGCUUGUGUCCGCUGCGUGGGGUGAAACAAGCGGAUGAUAUGUUGCGGUAG
rnacentral:lncRNA from 1 species